GGGCCCGCACAAGCGGUGGAGUAUGUGGUUUAAUUCGAUGCAACGCGAAGAACCUUACCUACUCUUGACAUCCAGAGAAGCCAGUAGAGAUACAGGUGUGCCUUCGGGAGCUCUGAGACAGGUGCUGCAUGGCUGUCGUCAGCUCGUGUUGUGAAAUGUUGGGUUAAGUCCCGCAACGAGCGCAACCCUUAUCCUUGUUUGCCAGCACUUCGGGUGGGAACUCCAGGGAGACUGCCGGUGAUAAACCGGAGGAAGGUGGGGACGACGUCAAGUCAUCAUGGCCCUUACGAGUAGGGCUACACACGUGCUACAAUGGCGCAUACAGAGGGCGGCCAACUUGCGAAAGUGAGCGAAUCCCAAAAAGUGCGUCGUAGUCCGGAUUGGAGUCUGCAACUCGACUCCAUGAAGUCGGAAUCGCUAGUAAUCGUGGAU
rnacentral:rRNA from 1 species